GCAGCAGCCGCGGUAAUACGUAGGUGGCAAGCGUUGUCCGGAAUUAUUGGGCGUAAAGGGCUCGCAGGCGGUUUCUUAAGUCUGAUGUGAAAGCCCCCGGCUCAACCGGGGAGGGUCAUUGGAAACUGGGAAACUUGAGUGCAGAAGAGGAGAGUGGAAUUCCACGUGUAGCGGUGAAAUGCGUAGAGAUGUGGAGGAACACCAGUGGCGAAGGCGACUCUCUGGUCUGUAACUGACGCUGAGGAGCGAAAGCGUGGGGAGCGAACAGGAUUAGAUACCCCGGUAGUCCCUGUCUCUUAUAC
rnacentral:rRNA from 1 species